GGGGGGGGUUGGGGGGGAGAAACAGAAAGAAAGAAAGAAAAAGGAGGUUUUAGCACCGGGAGCCGCCGCAGCCCUGCGGGAGCACCCGGGGAGCUCGGUGGGUGGGAGGGCGGCCUCCCGCCGCGGCUCUGCCCGCCGCUUCCCCACGGGAGGUCUCCACCUGCCCGAGGGGGGAGCGGCAGCGGCCCCGGCCCCGGCGCCCCCGCUCGGCCCCCGCGGGGCAACGGCUGCGGGGCCCGGGUCCACCCCGGCAGCGCCGCGGGGUCCUCUCCCUAAGGACAAGGUCAAGGAUGAAGGGUCAAUGUCAAGUUGUCUUAGCGGUGGAAGGCGACCGCCCGCGGCAGCACGCCCCGCUUCCCGCGUUUCUGGUGUCCUUGAUGGAUUUGAAAGUGACAUUUUGAGGGGGGAAACGCACCCAGGCAACGAGAAGAUGUGAGGGCUUGGCUUUUCCUUCAAAGGGCGGAGGAGUGCCGAUGGGACAUUUCAGGGACCGUGGGAAGGCUGAAUUCUGCCCCAGCGAACCCCCGGAGGUAAGCUGCAGUGCCACGGCUCCCUGACAAGCGUACGGAACCCGUCGGCCGCAGGGGCAAGCUGCUCGUCUGAUUUCUGCGUGGACGCCACGGGAAAGUGAAUUUGAAUGUAAACACGCGUGAGGCGGCCCGGGGAGGCGCGUUGGGGAGGGGACCGGUGUGGCAGUGCCAUCGGCUCCGCCGGCGGCAGCCGGGCUGGGGCGGGGGGGCCGGGGCCUGGCUGCCCCCCCCCGCCGCCGCCAGAGACAGAACCGGAUUUACAGGGGUGAACCUGCCGCCCGGGCAGCUGAAGGAAGUCUGUAGGACUUCUGCAUCUCCUUCCAGCUUCGGCUGCUUCUUGCUGCGCAAUUACAUUUUCCCGGACUGAUUCCCCCACCCACGCUUGUUUGUGAAAAGACAAAGGUGACAAGUAACGAACCGCCUACGCGCGGAGCAGGGAAAGCAGCUAUGCUCAAAUGAUCAACUGACCCCCACUCGCGCUCCUGCUGAAGCGGGGGGGGGGGGGAAGCGCCUUUUUAAGGGCCUCGUUAUGAUAAUUCUCGGCCAGAAGUAAUAGUGCUAACAGUUUUGUAAACAAAAAUAUGAAUGAUAAUUUCCCCCCAAGUUAACUCUAGAAAUAGUUGUAUAUAAAUAGCAUCCAUGUAUUCAAAUAUAGUUGCUUCUCUGCAUAAGGAAGGAAUUUAUAUGCAAAACCUCGAAUAUUCAGUCAGAUGGAUUAGAAGUGGCUUAUUUUGUGACUCAUCAGUGUCUAAAAUCCACAGACUUUGGUAGUGUUACCUGUUGCUAACUUAUUGCAGAACUAGACCUGCAAGUCUUACAACAGUCCCCCAUAAUUUUUUUUUGUUGUACAGUUCAGAACAAAGCCCCCAUCUUCUGUUAAUCAUGCCACAUAACAAAAAUAAUUAAGUAAAGUGCAGCUAGGGUGCAGCAGGCCUCCUGCAAGUAAAGUUGCCCGGCCAGAAAAUGCUGUCAUACCUCCUUCAUUGCCUGGGUCUGUCAAAAACCUUUGCAGAAAACAACUUGUUAGUCCUGAUCAUUUCCUCUCCGGAAUGAUAAAGGUGCUUCUCCUAAACCAGAGAGAGUUGCUCCAAAAUCAGCAGAAAAAAUACCUUCUGGAUGUUAUCACCGGGCGUUGCAAGGAGUAAAAUAAGUGAGUGUUCCCGCAGCUCUCUAAUUUGUCUGAUACUCGCUGGAGGAAAAAAACCCACCGAGAGUGGCUGGGAGUAAGGGGUUGUGAGAAGGAGAAUAGAAACUUUCACUGUGACUUGAACGUGAACUUCCUGCAAUGUGGGGCACGUGCAGCUUUUCACCUUUUCUUCACGUUCUGGAUCAAAUCCUUCCUGUUUUGAUCUAAUAUAGAUAUCAUUAUUUAAAAUAUGACUGUACUAGUCGUGAACGCCAUGUAACUAAUCUUGACAACACACCUAUAGCUUCACUUCGUGCCAGGAAUUGAUUGGCUUUAAUCCAAUUGUUAAAACUCGCUUUUCAGCCUUUAUUAUAGUUACUCUCUAGUAAUGUGUGGGUGGAUUUGUUUGUAAUUUAGCUUAGGCUGUCCCUGGCAUUGCACCAUAGCUCGUACCUAGUACAGAACUGUCUGUAACAUCAAACUGGAAAAAAAUCAAAACAAAACACGGGGGCAGGUGUGAGGGCAAUGACUUUAUCAUCCCUCCGGACAGUGGUGGGGAGCUGGAAUUGUUAAGCUAACGUCAGCGGGCAAUAAAAGCCUCUUGGCAAACCCUGCCAACACAAACUAGGGCAGGAACACGAUCAAAUACGAAAUCCAACUUCUCUGACACUCUGGCUUUGCAUCGUAAGCGGCGUUUCAGUGUGGCCUCAGCCCGCCCGGAGACCUUGCGCGGUUCGGCCGCCGCCAGACACCCGCACCCGCGGCAGCGGCCGCAAGCAGGCUUGAAACAAUUCCCGGAGGUAGUUUGCUGGGGAACACGGACUCUCCUAGAGGGACACUUUAACUUUUCAUGCGCCCCUACCCGCCCGCAGCGCUUGCUCGCUGUGCCUCCCCGCCGCCGGACCCGCCGCGCUGGGUGGUCGCGCUGGGCCCCCCCCGUAGCUCCCCCCGGGGCCAGCCCGGCGGCUGCGGCAGGCAGCAGGGAGCUCGCAGGCUCCGAACAACUCGUGUAAAAACCUCACGGGCAGACGAGAGAAACAAUAAAGAGCUGUGUUUGCUAAAAACGGCAAAA